rnacentral:rRNA from 1 species
GUCCACGCUGUAAACGAUGAUGACUAACCGUCGGCGAUACACUGUCGGUGGCCAAGCGAAAGCGAUAAGUCAUCCACCUGGGGAGUACGACCGCAAGGUUGAAACUCAAAGGAAUUGACGGGGGCCCGCACAAGCGGAGGAACAUGUGGUUUAAUUCGAUGAUACGCGAGGAACCUUACCCGGGCUCGAACGGCAGGGGAAUGGGUCAGAGAUGGUCCAGUCUUACGACUCCUGUCGAGGUGCUGCAUGGUUGUCGU